GUUACCUUCUGAGUGUCCUAGUUGCCUAGAAACAGUGUUCUUGUGAUUUUAUCCACUUGAAGUUUGGUUAGCAGUCGAUGCUAAGUGCAAUUACAGUGUAAUUGUAGUUGUUCUGAGUCUUUUCUGAUUAAUUUCCCAACACAUCUGAGGUAAAUGUUGAUGUUCCGGAUGGUUCUGUCUCGUUUCCACUCUCACUGUGUCGGUAUAAAGGACACAGCUGAGACUCGCAGUGUGUUCUCAAUAUGACAGCACAAGUACGUUUGGUUAGCGGUUGAUGCAAAGUGUAAUUACAGUGUUGUUGAGUCUUUUUUUAGAAAUUAAACAACAUUUCUGAGGUAAAUGUUGUUAAAUUGUUAAAUUAAGUUGAUAAAUUGUUAGUCUGAUAUGUUCCAUUUUUGUAUUUCCCACUUGCCUGGCAUGCUUUUAGCCACUUAAAAGGUGAGAAUAUUGUGCUUUUGAAUGCCUCUCCAUUCAAAAGCACUUUCAUGAGUUAGCUUUUAUUUAUUUUCUCCUUUGAAAAAAAUUAUGAGCACAUCAUUGAUUUCACUGUUUGUUGGUUUGGUUUGGUACUUCCAGAACCGAGGUCAGAGGAAAAGUGGGCCUCAAUAUAUUGUACAUGUUGAAGUAUAAUUGAUUAUUGACCCAUUAGCAAUUGUAGUGCCAAUGUUUGUCAAAAAAUCAUUUCAUGUCACUUUAUAUAUCAUUUGAAUUUAAGUAAACCAUAUCCAAAGGAAUUAUUUUAAAUAAAUAUUUGAUAUAUUGUGGAUUUUAUGAGUUGUAUCUCCCAGGAUACAUUGCCUUAUUAAGGUACAAAAAUGUCAGUCAUCCCUAUUUCUGUGUUUUAUUUGAUGCAAAUAUUUUACUUAUUUUAGAACAUGUAAUACAUAUUUAUUCAUUCAUUUAAAAUAGUAUACAGUGGAUAUAAAAAGUCUACACACCCCUGUAGAAAUGCCAGGUUUUUGUGAUUAGAUAAAUCAUGAAAGAUAAAUCAUGUCAGAAAUCUUUCCCCCUCAAUGUGAAAUUACAGCGUAAAAAACUUACAGCCGCUUUUGAUGUUAUUACACCACUCAGUCGUUUUGAGCAAGAGUCUAUCAGCAUGGCACAUCUUUAUUCAGCAUUAUUUUCCCACUCUUUCUUGCAAAAACAUUCCAAAUCCAUCAGAUUGUAAUCUCCUGUGCACAUUCCGCUUCAGGUCACCCCACAGAUUUUUAGCUGGAUUCAGGUCUGCACUCAGGCUAGGUCAUUCAAAAGCAUUGAUCUUCUUUUGGUGAAGUCGUUCCUUUGUUGAUUUGGAUGUAUGCUUUGGGUCAUUAUCAUGCUGAAAUGUGAAAUUCCUUUUCAUCUUCAGUUUACUAGCAGAAAACUGAAUGUUUUGCACUAAAAUCGGCUGGUAUUUGUAGAUAUUCAUGAUUUCCUCCACCUUGAUAAAAGUUCACGUUCUAGCUGAAGAAAAGCAGCCCUAAAGCAUGAUGCUGCCACCAUCAUGCUUCACCAUGGGGAUGGUGUUCUUUUUGGUGAUGUGCAUUUAUUUUCCCCCAAACAUACCUUUUGGAAUUGGUCUCAUCAGACCAUAACACACUUUGCCAGAUGGUUUGGGGUGAUUUAGUUGAGCUUAGAUGUUUUUUGUGAUAAAGAGUUUAUGUCUAGCCGGCCUACCCCAUCGCCCAGACAUGUGAAGAAUACGGGAGAUUGUUGUCACGUGCACAGAGGAAUCACACCUCGUCAGAUUUUCCUGCAGCUAAUUUAAUGUUGUUGUAGGUCUCUUGGAAGCUUCCCAGGUAAGUUUUUGUCUUGUCCUGUUCUACAUUUUGGACGGACGUCCUGUUCUUAGUGAUGUGCUCCAUUUUCUCCACUUGUUGAUGAUGGCCUUCACGCUGUUCCAUAGUACAUCUAAUGGUUUGAAUUUUUUUAUACCCCUCACCUUAUCGAUAUAUUUUGACAGUGUACAGGCUUUGUAAGCUCUUUGCUGACCAUGGCUUCAGCAGUCAGAUUAAACCAAGAAGAAAAUCCCACAGAAACAGCUGAUCUUUAUUUGCGGUUAAUCUGUUUGUUAAUCUAUUUAAUGACAGCUGUAUGAUAAUUACUUCU
ensembl:lncRNA